AUUGAACGCUGGCGGCAUGCCUUACACAUGCAAGUCGAACGGCAGCACGGGAGCAAUCCUGGAGGCGAGUGGCGAACGGGUGAGUAAAGUAUCGGAACGUGCCCAGUCGUGGGGGAUAACGUAGCGAAAGUUACGCUAAUACCGCAUACGAUCUAUGGAUGAAAGCGGGGGAUCGCAAGACCUCGCGCGAUUGGAGCGGCCGAUAUCAGAUUAGGUAGUUGGUGGGGUAAAGGCCCACCAAGCCGACGAUCUGUAGCUGGUCUGAGAGGACGACCAGCCACACUGGGACUGAGCAACGGCCCAGACUCCUACGGGAGGCAGCAGUGGGGAAUUUUGGACAAUGGGCGAAAGCCUGAUCCAGCCAUGCCGCGUGCAGGAUGAAGGCCUUCGGGUUGUAAACUGCUUUUGUACGGAACGAAAAGGACUGCCCUAAUACGGUGGUCCCAUGACGGUACCGUAAGAAUAAGCACCGGGUAACUCCGUGCCAGCAGCCGCAGUAA
rnacentral:rRNA from 1 species